GAUGAACGCUAGCUACAGGCUUAACACAUGCAAGUCGAGGGGAAACGACAUCGAAAGCUUGCCUUUGAUGGGCGUCGACCGGCGCACGGGUGAGUAACGCGUAUCCAUCCUGCCCACCACUUGGGGAUAACCUUGCGAAAGUAAGACUAAUACCCAAUGAUAUCUCUAGAAGACAUCUGAAAGGGAUUAAAGAUUUAUCGGUGAUGGAUGGGGAUGCGUCUGAUUAGCUUGUUGGCGGGGUAACGGCCCACCAAGGCGACGAUCAGUAGGGGUUCUGAGAGGAAGGUCCCCCACAUUGGAACUGAGACACGGUCCAAACUCCUACGGGAGGCAGCAGUGAGGAAUAUUGGUCAAUGGGCGAGAGCCUGAACCAGCCAAGUAGCGUGCAGGAAGACGGCCCUAUGGGUUGUAAACUGCUUUUAUAAGGGAAUAAAGUGAGUCUCGUGAGACUUUUUGCAUGUACCUUAUGAAUAAGGACCGGCUAAUUCCGUGCCAGCAGCCGCCGUAAAAC
rnacentral:rRNA from 1 species